CAAGAUGUUUUUAUUUAUUUCAAAUUCCAAUAGUGAAUAUGUUUUAUCUAAAUACUUUUUAAUCACACAGCUGUAACAUUGAAUUACUUUUUCUCAGAAAUAGUUAAAUACAUCAAUCUAGUAACAAAUUCUAGUAUAAAGAGUACAAAAUAUAGCAUUAUAAAUUGUGGGUUUUUUUUUUAAAAAGAAGAAGUACAAAUUCUAUGGGCUUCUGCAUCUUCCCAGCUCAACGAAUGAUUAGCGGAGUUGGUGAAGACAGAACGCAUUGCUUGGCGGUCACUUCACACGGGUAUGUCCCAGGACUCUGCAGUUUGUAUUAGUCAUUAGUGUCAAAAACGUGUCACGGGAAGGCCCUGUCUGUGGGGCGUGUGUCUUUUUUUUCUCGGUGAAUAUAAGUUGCAAUUAGAAGUUGCCUGAUUUAUAAGCGUUAAACAACAAAACAUGUUCCUCAGGUGCUGGCGGCGAGGGUCUUGUCUUACAGGUCCAGAGAAUGUUUCCUUCCUGGGGAACUGCGUUCACUGUUUGACCUAGAAGGCACCCUUACCCACCCAAAGGUGUCAACUCUCCUGGUUACCAGGAGGUGGAAAGACCGCCACUGCCAGCCCCGUGAUGCCCGACGUGGAACUGGUCACCUGUGGGGGUAGAAGGAGUGUGAAGACCCCAGUGCCAGCUGCAAGAGAAUCUGGGUGGGUACACAGCAGCCAAAGGGAAGGGACUCCCCUGCAGCCCACCGGGACAGCAGAGCUCUUUUAGUUUUAUGGAGUAGCCUUGUGUUGCCUGGAACGCCUAAUUUCCAGAAACCAGUGUCUUCCUGGGCUUUAAAAAAAAUAAAUAAGCAAAUAUUGGGGAACUUCUUAAAAUAUCUAAUACUUUUCAGAACAAAAGAGGCCAAGUCCACUUGACUUGGAAAUUGUACUGUGCAGGAGAGGCUAAACUGUCUCCAUCUAAGACUGAAGAGACUUCCAGGGCCAGCAGAAGUGUGGGAAGGUGCAGUGAGCAGCU
rnacentral:lncRNA from 1 species